UACGAAGGGGGCUAGCGUUGUUCGGAAUCACUGGGCGUAAAGGGCGCGUAGGCGGCUUUGUAAGUCGGGGGUGAAAGCCUGUGGCUCAACCACAGAAUUGCCUUCGAUACUGCAUGGCUUGAGACCGGAAGAGGUAAGUGGAACUGCGAGUGUAGAGGUGAAAUUCGUAGAUAUUCGCAAGAACACCAGUGGCGAAGGCGGCUUACUGGUCCGGUUCUGACGCUGAGGCGCGAAAGCGUGGGGAGCAAAC
rnacentral:rRNA from 2 species